GAUGAACGCUGGCGGCGGGCUUAACACAUGCAAGUCGAACGCAUCCUUCGGGGUGAGUGGCAGACGGGUGAGUAACGCGUGGGAACGUGCCCUUCAGUUCGGGAUAACCCAGGGAAACUCGGGCUAAUACCGGAUACGUGCGAGAGCAGAAAGAUUUAUCGCUGAAGGAUCGGCCCGCGUCUGAUUAGCUAGUUGGUGGGGUAAUGGCCCACCAAGGCGACGAUCAGUAGCUGGUCUGAGAGGAUGAUCAGCCACAUUGGGACUGAGACACGGCCCAAACUCCUACGGGAGGCAGCAGUGGGGAAUAUUGGACAAUGGGCGCAAGCCUGAUCCAGCCAUGCCGCGUGAGUGAUGAAGGCCUUAGGGUUGUAAAGCUCUUUCGUCCGGGACGAUAAUGACGGUACCGGAAGAAGAAGCCCCGGCUAACUUCGUGCCAGCCGCCGCCGUAA
rnacentral:rRNA from 1 species